CCCACUUGCAAGAUGAAGUCAAUCCAGAUGAUGCUCGCAGUCUUUGUGAUCACCUCACUGUGCGGAAUAGUUAAAUCUGACGGCUCCGACGAGAGUGAUUAUGAUUACAAAGGAAGAGGAUAUUGCACUAAUAAAGGUUGACGAUCCGGAUAUAUUUAUUUUGGCAACAAAGGAUAUUGCAAAAAUAUGGCAAUAGGUCUUACAACUAUAAAUGCAACUUUUAUGCUGGAUGCUGUCUUCCGCGUAACCCAUACAGCAAAUUCAAUUAUUACUGCACAAACAAAUACGGAUGUCCUAAAAAUUACUAUUUUUAUAACAACAAAGGCUACUAUUAUUAUAAUAACAAGGACUACUACAAUUGUCUUUCUUACAAGGGAUGUUGUCUUCGUCAUGGUUACUUAAGGUGAAACUAAUAUGGAAACAGUUCGUCGAAGAGAACAUCAAAAAGUGCAGUCUACAUUUAUAAUGAUU